UACGAACCGGACAAACGUUAUUCGGAAUCAUUGGGCUUAAAGGGUGCGUAGGCGGCCGCGUAAGUCGGGUGUGAAAUCCCUCGGCUCAACCGAGGAAUUGCGCCCGAUACUGCGUGGCUAGAGGGAGACAGAGGCGAGCGGAACUGAUGGUGGAGCGGUGAAAUGCGUUGAUAUCAUCAGGAACACCGGUGGCGAAGGCGGCUCGCUGGGUCUCUUCUGACGCUGAGGCACGAAAGCUAGGGUAGCGAACAGG
rnacentral:rRNA from 1 species